UCUGAAGAAGGGCAGUUAAGUGUUCCCGCUCGCAGUAUGCGCCUGUCUCCGGGGGAGGGGAGGGGGCUUCUGUCUUUCCACCAUCACUGUCUAAUCUCGUCUGCUGUGGUUCUGCCGUCUGUGAUGUCUAGGAAUUCGGGACUCACGGUGGCCUAACCGUCGAGCCCCUCUGACCGCCCCCCUUCCGCAGCCCCAGGCGGGGAAGACUGGCCAGGCUGUGAUCUCCAAGGCCGUCGGGCGCCCCCCACAAGGCCGUCUGGCCCCCAAGCGCCUGCCUCAGGGACCCAGAGUCCCAGAUCGAGGUCUGCGUCCCGAUACAAGCUAUUAUUCACCAGGGAGUUUUGGCAAGAGAAUGGCUGGAUCAGGAAGUCUGUCUUCACUGUGGAAAAUCAGCUUGAAGCUUGUCUUUAUUGAUGGUUAUAAACAAAUCCCAAGAUCAGAGACUGUUAGGACUGAUGCUCACUGAAGUCAAAGAAAGACCUCACUCUAGGGAGAAGAUCCUUAUACUACAGAUUUUACUUUCCUGGAAAUUUUAUAUAAACCAAAUGACACAAUAUGUGGUCUCUUGUGUUGGUAUUCUUUGACUUAGAAUAAUGUAUAUAUAUAUUUUCAUGUUGGAAGCGUUUGAUGUCUAAGCUGUUUGGUGUACUCAGAUCAUCUUGCCAAUAUCUGCUAAAAGACUGCUGAAAAUCUGGUAGCAAUUGAUAUAUGAAUCAACCUGGGGAGAAUUACUAUUCUGAACAUUAUUGAGCUUUCCACUCCAUGAACCUGGUAUCUGAGCUUCUUUUGAAGUUUACUUUCUCAAGACUCCUUUUGGAUUACAGAGAUCAUGUUCUUCCUGUAAA